rnacentral:rRNA from 1 species
GGGGAAUCUUCCGCAAUGGGCGAAAGCCUGACGCAGCAACGCCGCGUGCGGGAAGAAGGCUUUCGGGCUGUAAACCGCUUUCAGCAGGAACGAAAAUGACGGUACCUGCAGAAUAAGAGGUUGCUAACUCUGUGCCAGCAGCAGCGGUAAUACAGAGACCUCAAGCGUUAUCCGGAUUUAUUGGGCGUAAAGCGUUCGUAGGCGGCUUUGUAAGUCAUUUGUUAAAUCCUCAGGCUUAACCUGGGGGCUGCGGGUGAUACUGCAAGGCUUGAGUGUGGGAGAGGCAAGCGGAAUGCCCGGUGUAGCGGUAAAAUGCGUUAAUAUCGGGUAGAACACCAAAGGCGAAGGCAGCUUGCUGGAACACAACUGACGCUCAGUGAACGAAAGCGUGGGGAGCGAAAGGGAUUAGAUACCCCUGUAGUC